AGAGAGGUGGCCGAGUGGUCGAAGGCGCACGCUUGGAAAGCGUGUAUACGGCAACGUAUCGAGGGUUCGAAUCCCUUCCUCUCUACAA
rnacentral:tRNA from 1 species